GCAGCCGAUUUUACUGGAGAAAAUCAAGUUGCACGACACUUGUGGCGUUCAUAAUCUGCAUGGACUUCCAGGACUGUUUGCUGGGUUUGUGGCUGCGCUCGUGUCAUAUCAGGCGUCAGAAAGCGAAUAUGGCAUGUUCCUCUACUCAAUAUUCCCUGCUAGAGCGCCGUUGCGAGAUAGUCCCGAAUCCAGAAGUUUGGUAAGCAAAAUCGACGUGGACCCGUGACUAACAGGACGGCUUCAACCAGGCUUGCUUCCAGAUUGUCGCCAUUCCAUGCACUCUGGCCUUCUCAAUCAUCGGUGGCGUUAUAACAGGUACAAUAAUAAACCUUUCAUCACCAGCCACCGGAUCUGUGCCUGAGGACUCUUUCUUUGAGGACGCUCUGCACUGGGAAAUUCCCAAUGAAAGUGAUGAGUCGACAGACAAAAAUGUGCCCGAAAAACAGGAGUCGACUAUAAUAAAAGUUCACGAGCCUUCUGAUACCAAAGUGGUUGAGGAAAAGUGCUAAACUAAAUAUUAAUAACCUUAAACUUCAGUGUGGUCACAAAGAAAAAACAGUUUCGGUGGGGAAUUUGAAUAGAUAUCACCACUUCCAUGGUAUCUGUAGGGGUUGCCUCAGUGAUCUAUAUGGUACAUAUAUACUGCUAAUGUACUUUAAAACAUGUCCCUCAAGGGGACAAAAUGAAGGAUUAAAUGUUUAUUACGAAGGAUGUGUUCUUAUAAAAAUAUGUUCAACGAG